UUAGAAAUCACAAUAAAGAAAAAUGAAAAGAGAAUCACCGGGUUUUGAACCGAUGAUCUAUGGUUCUCCACGAAGGCCCCUCUCCACCGAGCCAAACAGCUCAAUCAUGACUAUAAGUAGCUUCAAGUAUUACAAAUAAAAACAAUAGAAAAUGAAAAAAAAUUAAAAUUAAAAUUUGAGUUGUACUGUUCAUCUUCUUCUUUCUAGUGGAAAACUACAUAUCCGACAAUGAAAAUAAUAACAAACCCAUGUUCAAAAUAAACAAAAACAGAAUGACAAUAAUAAAUCCAAUGCUACCACAAACCAAAUACCAUCACCAAAUAAUAAAAUUUACCAUGUUCAAAAUAAACAAAAACAGAAUGACAAUAAUAAAUCCAAUGCUACCACAAACCAAAUACCAUCACCAAAUAAUAAAAUUUCAAAAGCACACCCCUCUUUUUUUUAUAAAAAACGCAGCAAAUAUAAAACCAUAAAAAUGUAUCGACACUGAAACGGACCUUACGUGGUUGUCGUAGAUUAUUGACACGUCUUGGUUGUGAGGUCACACUCGCGACUAACAGACAUAAGUAGACGGCGAGAUCCGAGCGAAAGGGGGUCGCGGAAGGGGAGUUGAAAACUUCCGGCGAACGGAGGUGGUGCGUUGUCGGCGUUAAGGAAACUGACAGUGAGGUUCGACGGUUGAGCCAAUGCGUUCAAAGGAAACUCUCGGCUAAGGAAACUCUUGGCUAUGGCGGAAAGAGAGGCUUGAGGGAGGGUUGGUAGUGAUUCGGCGUGACGGCGCUGAGCUUGGAAGAGAAAAAUAAUCCUUUU
rnacentral:lncRNA from 1 species